UGCAUGUGCAGGCUCUGACCUUCAGGCACCCUUGAAUCUCCAGUCAUCUGCGGGAGUCUGCCUUUCAGUGCCUUCCUGGAAGACACACCAAGGAGACAGGCCAGUGGGCUGGCAGGGGCAGGGUCUUGGCAGCAGAGCCGGGGGUCACUGCAGAAGCUAGAAGGUGUAGCUGGGAUGGGAAGCUCUGGAAUGUUUCCUGAGUUGAGUGCUGGGGCAUAUGCCAAGUGACUAAUUGUAUGAUUUUUAUAAGAGCUUAGCGACGCUGACACACGUGCAGUUUAGAGCCUUUCUAGAGUAACUCUUUUUUUAAAAAACUUAAAAGGAAUUGGACAGGGAGGGAAAGGGAAGAGGAGGCAGGUAGGGAGAGACCCUGCAGGACCUUUCCAGAUGGGUCAUCAGUGAUGGAAGUCCAGGUACUUACUUAUGCAUAGAGAUUUGAGAGCAGCCAAGUAGAGCAUGACUGGAUUUCCUUAGGCAAGUCCCGACUGCUGAGGAUCUUUCUGCCGUCGUGAGAACUAUGAUUCUGUUUAAAACUGCAGACGAGUAUGCAGGAAGACCCACCAGAGAAGCAAUAUGGACUCAUUGUGUUUGAUUGAAAAGGGUGGGGACAGGCAUGUGGCCCUUUGUACUGUGACAAGUGAUUGAAGGUCCUUUGGUGAGUGGCUUCCAUGACAGGCAACAAGUUUACUGUCAAAAAUCAAAAGAUGCUGAUAAAAGAUACCAGAACACACUGUAAGUUCACAGUAUGUGACGGGACCACACAACCUCUGCUCCAUGAAGGGAACAAUCUCCUAAUGCUAAAAAAUGAAAAAAAAAAUUUAUGAUUUUAAAUGGCUUUUCAUUUUUCUAUUUAAACCAUUUGAUUAACAAAUGAUGGAGAUAAAAAUCAUCAUUUGCUAUUUUUCUUAUAUUGCGAGAAGGAGCAGCGGAGCGCAGGUCUGGGACAGAAUAGUUAUUAAGGGAUAAGGAGGGAAGAUUCAUCCCCAGGGUCCAAGCACUUGUUCUGAGCAAAUGAUGUGUUGUAAUUAAGCACUAAUAUGCAGAGGAUCUAGAGUUCAAAAUGAUUCCCACCAAUUGUUUCUAAUUAGCAUGUGAAGACAAUCAGGGCAGGAAUCAUCAUCUCACUCAAGGAGUCCAGAGAGGCUGCGCCAUGCCCAUGUCACCCGUGUCACCUCUCACACGUCCCUGGACUCUGGGACGGGCUUCAGAAGUGUGAAGACGCCCAUGUCCUCCCAGGUGGAGCAGGGCAGCCGCCACCUUGAAGGUUGAGGACGUGCUGAGGAGACUGCAGCCAGGAAAGGAGCCCUCAUAGGAGCCACGUAGACAGGCACCUUGGUCUUGGCCUCCCCAGCUUCCAGAACUGCAAACACUGAACCUCUGCCGUCUGGGCCACACAGUCUCCUUUAAUGUGUUACAGAACGCUGAACUGGCUGGGAACGGACUUGCUUCAGAGAGACCGCAGGAGCAGCACUCAAUAGGAGAGGAGCCUCCUCAGUGUGUGGAAAGGAAAGGGAAAAUGGAAUAAACUGUGUGAAGUACUGACUAUGUGCUAGGUUUUAGCCAGACAUCCUGCAUCUUACUCGACUCUCAUCCCUUUGUUAAGAGUCAAUAGAGGGAUGGAUAAACAGCACUCACAUUGAUAUUGUCUAAUAAAUAUCAAUAAAUGCUU